AUUGAACGCUGGCGGCAGGCCUAACACAUGCAAGUCGAGCGAGCGGCGGACGGGUGAGUAAUGUAUGGGGAUCUGCCCGCUUGAGGGGGAUAACUACUGGAAACGGUGGCUAAUACCGCAUACUAGCGGAGGAACCCAUAUGGGAUUAGCUAGGAGGUGGGGUAAAGGCUCACCUAGGCGACGAUCCCUAGCUGGUCUGAGAGGAUGAUCAGCCACACUGGGACUGAGACACGGCCCAGACUCCUACGGGAGGCAGCAGUGGGGAAUAUGGCACAAUGGGCGCAAGCCUGAUGCAGCCAUGCCGCGUGUAUGAAGAAGGCCUUAGGGUUGUAAAGUACUUUCAGCGGGGAGGCGUUACCCGCAGAAGAAGCACCGGCUAACUCCGUGCCAGCAGCCGCGGUAAUUC
rnacentral:rRNA from 1 species